rfam:Mesocricetus auratus contig160297, whole genome shotgun sequence.
GAGUCUCUGAUGACAUACUGAUUUCCCAAAAAGAUCUGAUGACAUAGAAAUCAUGCUCAAUAUGAUUACGCUUAAGCUC